CCUUGGCCUGGCGCGGUUGGCGAUCUCUUCAUACUGGGCCUUGACCUGGGUGAUGAUGCUGUCCAUGUCCAGGGAGCAGCUGUUGUCCAUGAGCAGAACCACAGAUGUGUCCAAGAUCUGGGACAGC
rnacentral:miRNA from 1 species